rnacentral:rRNA from 1 species
AAUUUAGUAAUUUAAUAUUAAUUUUUGUUUUUGAAAUAUCAGUAAUUUUAUUAUAUGGAUAGAAAAAAUUGUUUAAUUUAUAGUUUACUAGUAAUGUGGAUGAAUAUUUAAUAAAGAAGUUAAAUUAUUAAAAGAAGAUUUGAGUUUUUGUACCUUGUGUAUCAGGGUUGAUUAAUUAAUAAUUUUGUAUAAAAAUUUUCCCGAAUUUAGAAGAGUUAAGAGAUAAUAAAUUUUAUUGUAAAAUAAAUAUUUAUAAUUAUUUUUUAGUAAUGAAACGUUAGUCGUUUCUAAUUAUAUCUGGUUUUCUAAGAAAUUAAUUUAAUUAAUUAUUCAUAUAAUAAAUUUAAUAUUUAGUUAUUAAGUUUUUUAUGAGUAAAAAUCUUUCAAGGGAUAAGCUUUGAAAGAUAUUAAUAUAAGAUAGAAAGUUUUACAAAUUUUAUAUGAUUAUAAGUUUUAACUAUUAAGAGUGUGUUAUAACUAAAUUUGUAUUGAUUAUAUUUAUAUUAUUUUUAUGUAAUUUAUUUGAAUUUUAAUUUUAAUAAGUUAUUUUAUGUAAUAAUGAUUGAAUUAGUAUAUGUAAUUGUAUAUCUAAUAAAAGAUGUUAGAUGAUGUAAAGGAAUUCGGCAAAUAAAUUUCCGCCUGUUUAUUAAAAACAUGUCUUUUUGAUGAUGAUUUAAGGUUUAACCUGCCCACUGAAUAUUGAAUGGCCGCGGUAAUUUGACCGUGCGAAGGUAGCAUAAUAAUUAGUUUCUUGAUUGGGAACUGGAAUGAAUGGUUGGACGAGAAAUUUUCUGUCUCUGUAUUAUUAUUAGAAUUUUAUAUUUAAGUAAAAAAGCUUAGAUUUAUUUAAAAGACGAGAAGACCCUAUAGAGUUUGAUAUUUAAUUAAUUUUUAAUAUGUGGGAUUAUUAAUUUAAUUUUAAUACUAUAUUUUGUUGGGGUGAUAGAAAAAUUUAAUUAACUUUUUUUUUNNGUUAUCAUUAAUUUAUGAAUCAUUGAUCCGUUGUUUACGAUUAAAAGAUUAAAUUACCUUAGGGAUAACAGCGUAAUCUUUUUUGAGAGUUCAUAUCGAAAGAGUGGAUUGCGACCUCGAUGUUGGAUUAAAAUUAAUUAUUGGUGUAGAGGCUAAUAAAUUAGGUCUGUUCGACCUUUAAAAUUUUACAUGAUCUGAGUUUAGACCGGCGUGAGCCAGGUUGGUUUCUAUCUUUAGAAAAAUAAAAUAUUUUAGUACGAAAGGACCAGAUGUUUAUAAUAAUUGUUUAUUUUUUNGAUAAAUAUUAAUG